rnacentral:SRP_RNA from 1 species
GCUGGGCGUGGUGGCUCAUGCCUGUAAUCCAAGUACUUUGGGAGGCUGAGGCAGGCGGAUCACCUGAGGUCAGGAGUUCGAGACCAGCCUGGCCAACAUGGUGAAACCCUGUCUCUA